GUCCACGCCCUAAACGAUGUCAACUGGUUGUUGGGUCUUUACUGACUCAGUAACGAAGCUAACGCGUGAAGUUGACCGCCUAGGGAAUACGGCCGCAAGGUUGAAACUCAAAGGAAUUGACGGGGACCCGCACAAGCGGUGGAUGAUGUGGUUUAAUUCGAUGCAACGCGAAAAACCUUACCCACCUUUGACAUGUACGGAAGUUACCAGAGAUGGUUUCGUGCUCGAAAGAGAACCGUAACACAGGUGCUGCAUGGCUGUCGU
rnacentral:rRNA from 1 species